rnacentral:snRNA from 1 species
AUCGCUUCUCGGCCUUUUGGCUAAGAUCAAGUGUAGUAUCUGUUCUUAUCAGUUUAAUAUCUGAUACGCCCCCCAUCGGGGGACUAUACAUAUUAAAUGGAUUUUUCGAACAGGGAGUCGGAAGCGGGGCUUGCUCCGUCCGCUCCACGCAUCGACUCGGUAUUGCAGUACCUCCGAGAACGGUGCACCCUCU